rnacentral:rRNA from 1 species
AAUCAACGCUGGCGGCGUGCCUCAGACAUGCAAGUCGAACGAUUAAAGCUCUCUUCGGAGAGUGCAUAAAGUGGCGCACGGGUGAGUAACACGUAAGUAAUCUACCUUCGAGUGGGGAAUAACAUCGGGAAACCGAUGCUAAUACCGCAUAAUGCAGCGGCAUCGCAAGAUGACAGUUGUUAAAGAUUUAUCGCUUGAAGAGGAGCUUGCGGCAGAUUAGCUAGUUGGUAAGGUAAUGGCUUACCAAGGCUACGAUCUGUAACCGGUCUAAGAGGACGGUCGGUCACACUGACACUGAAUAACGGGUCAGACUCCUACGGGAGGCAGCAGUCGGGAAUUUUGGGCAAUGGGCGAAAGCCUGACCCAGCAACCGCCGCGUGAAGGAUGAAGUAUUUCGGUAUGUAAACUUCGAAAGAAUAGGAAGAAUAAAUGACGGUACUAUUUAUAAGGUCCGGCUAACUACGU